rnacentral:rRNA from 1 species
AUGGCAAGAGACCACUACCAUCAGUGUAGUGGUAUAGCAUACUGUGAGCAAUCAGGAACAAAAACAGGAGGUUUAAUUUUCACAAAUCGUUCUUGUCUCACUCACACCUCAAAAUGCAAGUUUGGGAGGGCGGUGCUGGGAGGUGUGGUGAGGAGAGCAAAUCUGGCAAAUGGCAAUAGAGCAGCAUGCAAGCAAACACCACCGGAGUGGCAAAGAGGUGUAGGGAGGCCGUCGAACAGCCGGGAGAAAGCACCACACGAGGGUCUGAGCAAGCAUACCAGGUUUUGCAGCAUCUGCCCCCGUGAAGGCCACAAGCUGACGACAUGCCCUGAUCGUGGAGAUGCACCUAAACAGCCCCGCAAACCCGGAAAGUCGCGGGCAACUUCAGUACGGGGUCUACAGCUGACGCAUGGAGCACGACGGCGGCACAUGUUUAAUCUGCAGUGGUUGCGGAGGAGGAACAAUGCUGAGCCGUGCGCUGAAAGCCUGAUCCGCCCUCUGGACGAUGCCUCCGUCACAAUGAAUGCGCCCAGGCCCACCAAAACUUCAGACGAAAUACUUACUGAAUACAGCUAUGAGUACAUAGAGGGGCGCUGA